UUGAACGCUGGCGGCAGGCCUAACACAUGCCAGUCGAGCGGAUGAAGGGAGCUUGCUCCUGGAUUCAGCGGCGGACGGGUGAGUAAUGCCUAGGAAUCUGCCUGGUAGUGGGGGAUAACGUCCGGAAACGGGCGCUAAUACCGCAUACGUCCUGAGGGAGAAAGUGGGGGAUCUUCGGACCUCACGCUAUCAGAUGAGCCUAGGUCGGAUUAGCUAGUUGGUGGGGUAAAGGCCUACCAAGGCGACGAUCCGUAACUGGUCUGAGAGGAUGAUCAGUCACACUGGAACUGAGACACGGUCCAGACUCCUACGGGAGGCAGCAGUGGGGAAUAUUGGACAAUGGGCGAAAGCCUGAUCCAGCCAUGCCGCGUGUGAGAAGAAGGUCUUCGGAUUGUAAAGCACUUUAAGUUGGGAGGAAGGGCAGUAAGUUAAUACCUUGCUGUUUUGACGUUACCAACAGAAUAAGCACCGGCUAACUUCGUG
rnacentral:rRNA from 1 species